rnacentral:rRNA from 2 species
GACGAACGCUGGCGGCGUGCCUAAUGCAUGCAAGUCGAGCGGGCUACAGUCUUCGGAUUGUAGCUUAGCGGCGAACGGGUGAGUAACACGUAGGUAAUCUACCCUUCAGAGGAGGACAACCUCAGGAAACUGAGGCUAAACCUUCAUACGUUCACUGGUAGGGAUACUGGUGAAGAAAGAGUUACCGUUGAGGUAGCUGCUGAAGGAUGAGCCUGCGGCCCAUCAGGUAGUUGGUGAGGUAACGGCUCACCAAGCCGAAGACGGGUAACCGGUCUGAGAGGAUGUCCGGUCACACUGGGACUGAGACACGGCCCAGACUCCUACGGGAGGCAGCAGCAGGGAAUCUUGGGCAAUGGGCGAAAGCCUGACCCAGCGACGCCGCGUGGAGGAAGAAGUCCUUCGGGGCGUAAACUCCUGGACUGGGGGACGAGGAAGGACGGUACCCCAGUAGAAAGGGACGGCUAACUACGUGCCAGCAGCCGCGGUAAAACGUAGGUCCCGAGCGUUGUUCGGAUUCACUGGGUGUAAAGGGCGCGUAGGUGGUUGUCUGUGUCUCAUGUGAAAACUCAGGGCUCAACUCUGAGAUUGCGUGGGAAACUAGGCAGCUAGAGGACGGUAGAGGGGAGUGGAAUUCCCGGUGUAGCGGUAAAAUGCGUAGAUAUCGGGAGGAACACCGGUGGCGAAGGCGGCUCUCUGGGCCGAUCCUGACGCUGAGGCGCGAAAGCUAGGGGAGCGAACCGGAUUAGAUACCCGGGUAGUCCUAGCCGUAAACGAUGGGUGCUAGGUGUUGGGGGGUAAAGACCCUUCAGUGCCGAAGCCAACGCGAUAAGCAUCCCACCUGGGGAGUACGGCCGCAAGGUUGA